AGAAUCAACGCUGGCGGCGUGCCUAACACAUGCAAGUCGAACGAGAAAGUGGAGCAAUCCAUGAGUAAAGUGGCGCACGGGUGAGUAACACGUGACUAACCUACCCUUGAGUGGGGGAUAACCUAGAGAAAUCUGGGCUAAUACCGCAUAAUACCUUCGGGUCAAAGGAGCAAUUCGCUUAAGGAGGGGGUCGCGGCCGAUUAGUUAGUUGGCGGGGUAAUGGCCCACCAAGACUAUGAUCGGUAUCCGGCCUGAGAGGGCGCACGGACACACUGGAACUGAAACACGGUCCAGACUCCUACGGGAGGCAGCAGUGGGGAAUUUUGCGCAAUGGGGGAAACCCUGACGCAGCAACGCCGCGUGGAGGAUGAGUCCCUUGGGACGUAAACUCCUUUCGAUCGGGACGAUAAUGACGGUACCGAGAGAAGAAGCCCCGGCUAACUUCGUGCCAGCAGCCGC
rnacentral:rRNA from 1 species